UGCUAGUCGCACGGGUUUAGACCCGUGGCGUAAAGCUCAGUAACACGUGGCCAAACUACCCUAUGGAUCAGAACAACCUCGGGAAACUGAGGCUAAUUCUGAAUAGGGCUUGCAUCUUGGAGUAGAGCAAGUCCGAAAUGCUUCGGCGCCAUAGGAUGUGGCUGCGGCCGAUUAGGUUGACGGUGGGGUAACGGCCCACCGUGCCAAUAAUCGGUACGGGUUGUGAGAGCAAGAGCCCGGAGACGGUAUCUGAGACAAGAUACCGGGCCCUACGGGGCGCAGCAGGCGCGAAACCUUUACACUGCGCGACAGCGCGAUAAGGGGACCCCGAGUGCGAGGGCAUAUAGUCCUCGCUUUUCUGGACCGUAAGGUGGUUCAGGAAUAAGGGCUGGGCAAGACCGGUGCCAGCCGCCGCGGUAAUACCGGCAGCCCGAGUGAUGGCCGAUUUUAUUGGGCCUAAAGCGUUCGUAGCCUGCCAGACAGGUCCGUCGGGAAAUCUGCACGCCCAACGUGCAGGCGUCCGGCGGAAACCAGCUGGCUUGGGGCCGGAAGACCCAGGGGGUACGUCCGGGGUAGGAGUGAAAUCCUGUAAUCCCGGACGGACCGCCGGUGGCGAAAGCGCCCUGGGAGGACGGACCCGACGGUGAGGGACGAAAGCUAGGGUCACGAACCGGAUUAGAUACCCGGGUAGUCCUAGCCGUAAACGAUGCCCGCUAGGUGUGGCGCA
rnacentral:rRNA from 1 species